UACGGAGGGUGCAAGCGUUAUCCGGAUUUACUGGGCGUAAAGCGCACGUAGGCGGAUCGUUAAGUCGGGGGUGAAAUCCUGGAGCUCAACUCCAGAACUGCCUUCGAUACUGGCGAUCUUGAGUCCGGAAGAGGUGAGUGGAACUCCUAGUGUAGAGGUGGAAUUCGUAGAUAUUAGGAAGAACACCAGUGGCGAAGGCGGCUCACUGGUCCGGUACUGACGCUGAGGUGCGAAAGCGUGGGGAGCAAACAGG
rnacentral:rRNA from 1 species